rnacentral:rRNA from 1 species
UACGAAGGGGGCUAGCGUUGCUCGGAAUUACUGGGCGUAAAGGGCGCGUAGGCGGGUCGUUUAGUUAGAGGUGAAAGCCCAGGGCUCAACCCUGGAAUUGCCUUUAAUACUGGCGGCCUUGAGUAUGGCAGAGGUGUGUGGAACUCCGAGUGUAGAGGUGAAAUUCGUAGAUAUUCGGAAGAACACCAGUGGCGAAGGCGACUCGCUGGACAAGUAUUGACGCUGAGGUGCGAAAGCGUGGGGAGCAAACAGG